rnacentral:tmRNA from 1 species
GGGGGCGAUCAGGUUUCGACGGGGUUAGUUGAGACCAAGGCUGCAGGCCGAGCGACCCAGUGACUCGUAAAUCCAUAGGGAACUAAACAUAAAAGCAGACUCUUACGAGUACGCUCUGGCUGCUUAAGCCAGCGCUUCAAGUGACACGUGGCCCGUGGGUCAUUUGUGGCGUGGAUAAAUGGGCUGGCUAGUUAGAGGGGCACCCUGCUCUCACUAGUGAGAAAAUCAGGAUGAUAGUUUUCAGUUAGUUUGUCCGUUAACGCACUGAAGGCAAAAUUUAAAUAACGGAAUACACCUGUAGAUGUCUUGGGGGAAGAACUUCGGACGCGGGUUCAAUUCCCGCCGCCUCCACCA